rnacentral:tRNA from 1 species
GCCCGGGUGGUGAAAUUGGUAAACACUACGGACUUAAAAUCCGUCGCGUCGUCUUCGACGCUUGCCGGUUCGAUUCCGGUUCCGGGCACCA